AACAGUAACUUUUCUUACCUGGUUUUCCUCUAGUGGUGCCAAGUCUUUUUCCAGAUAAUUUGGUCCCUAAAGCCUAUAUAUUCUCCUUCCACAAACAACUAACUGAACAUAUUCCAUCUCUUCCUCCAUGAAGACCUCCAAGAGGUCUUAACCUAGGCUGCCUGAGGUUCCGUGGUGCAUUUGCCAAACUCCAGUGGUUUCCCUGGAGUGGACCCUCCCAUAACUAGAACGCCUCUCUGAGAAUGUUGCUUGACCAAGCCCUAUGUGGACAGACGCCAGCCUGUUAGUUUUCAUUUUGGUUUGUUUCUUUAUAUAUUUAUUAAAUUUAAUUAAUUAUUUUUGGCUGUGCCAGGUCUUAGUUGCGGAGAGCGGGCUUCUCUCUAGCUGUGGCGCAUGGGCUUAGUUGCCCCGCGCCAUGUGGGAUCUUACUUCCCCCGCCAGGGAUCAAACCCACGUCCCCUGCGUUGGAAGGCAGAUUCUUUACCACUGGACCACCAGGGAAGUCCCUUCAUUUUCGUUUUUAAUAGUCAUUGUGACUGAAUUCUAAAAAUGAUGAAGUCCUUCAUCUGCAAGGCAGUGAGGCCCUCCCAUCAGAACCCUAAGGGAAAACAUUUUGGCUGAGAUUAGAGAAGGCUGGCCACACACUAGUGAUGGGUUCUUUACAAUGAGCUUCUGUAAGUCUAUCAAAGAAAGCACAUCCUCACAGCUGAGUUUAGCUGCCGAAUAAAAUGACCAGGAUAUGUCAUUCAUAUCCUUCCAGUCAAGAUAUAAACAGUCUGUUUGGAGGUCUGGUUACAAUAUAGUAUCUUUUGGUAAACUUUUUUUUGUAAUUGAAGUAUAACCUACAUGCAGAAAAGUACACAAAUCAUAAGUCUACAGCUCAAUGAAUUUACCCUGAAGUAAACAUACCCAUAUAACCACCACCCAGAUCAAGAAAUUACCAGCAUUUCAGAAACCCCUCUCAGGCCCCCUCCCAGUCACUAUGUUCACCCUCUCCUUAAAUGUAACCACUCUAAUUUUAAUCUUAUGACCUGCAUAUUUUUUGUGUAUCUGAUGGCCCAGAUAAUUAUCUCUGGAGGCCAGAGUUAAUCAGAAGCUGGAAGGACUGUUUCCCUAUGUGUCAUUCCUCUUAAGAAUAGUUUAUCAGGGCUUCCCUGGUGGUGCAGUUAGGCCAUUUUGAGAGAAGUUGAAUAUAUCAUGAUGCCAAGACCCAAUACAGUCAAGGAUCUUCU
rnacentral:lncRNA from 1 species